CUAAAAUACGUAAUUAUGCUUCUCUUCUUUCUCUCCCCUAUUCCUCUUUCAUUUGCACAAGCGACGAAGGCAAGAAGGGUGGAUGGGGUUUGAGGGCAUCAGGGGUGAGUAAGUGGAAGCAAAGGGUAGCCACUGCAGCCAGCCAUGCUUGGCCGCUUGAUGGGAGAUCUUUUUUUUUCAGAGGAGAUGAAUGGUAGGAUCUGGAGGAGGUAAAUGAGAGCAUCCUGAUGCAGAGAGAUGUGUGGAUGUCCCUAAUGGGGCCCUGCUCUGACGAGCUGUGUGCUGCCUCUGUUUGGGAGGCUGGCAGACGGACGGAUGUGGUUAGGGCGGAGGCUCAGCGCCUGCUGCCCGCUCCCUACCAGGGCUCUCCGAGCGUCACGUCGGCCACGCUCCGCGCUAAUUGCCAGAGGUCGACAGCGCAUAACAAGUAGAGGAGGCAUCGGCUUUAAUUUGAGAGGAGAAGAAAGGGUGGAGAAAAUACAUCUAAUCAUGUGAAGUGUUUUGCUGUCUGGGAGGGAGCUAGGGGCUCUCUCUCCCCUGGUGGACCAUGCCCAGCAUCACCAACCACCCACCCCCAGCCCCUGGCCUGGCUAACAGCUCUGACCACACAGAAGUAUGGAUUACCCAGAACCGUACUGCUACGUUACUGUAUCUUACUGCUCACACAGGACCAGAGAGCUAAAUAAACAAGAGAGAAGUCUAGUGGAACAGGAGCCCCCACAGAAAACACAUGGACACACUGUAAUGAGGGGAAAGAUAGGAGAAACAGACAGACACACAUAGACAGACGGACAGCAAGGCAUACAGACAGAUAGACAGGCAACCACACAGACAGACAGACACCAAGGCAGCAAAUGAAACUGAGGUGGUGUGUGGAGAGGGGAGGUGGGAGGGAGGUGUGAAGGGGGGUGCUGGAAAGUGCCCUUGUCCGGUUGGAACCCCCACCCCUACCUCUCCACCACCAAAGGACUGCUCCCUGAGCCAGGGUCAUUGACACACACCUCUGACAUCAUUAAGACGUUUCCAGGAAAAUGUAUUGAAAGACAGAUUAAAAUAAAUUAAGAAAAAUGUGUAGCAGAAUGCCUACGCGCACUUCAUAAA
rnacentral:lncRNA from 1 species